rnacentral:rRNA from 1 species
GAUGAACGCUGGCGGCGUGCCUAAUACAUGCAAGUCGAGCGAACGGACGAGAAGCUUGCUUCUCUGACGUUAGCGGCGGACGGGUGAGUAACACGUGGAUCACCUACCUAUCAGACUGGGAUAACUUCGGGAAACCGGAGCUAAUACCGGAUGAUCUUUUGAACCGCAUGGUUCAAUAGUGAAAGACGGUCUUUCUGUCACUUAUAGAUGGAUCCGCGCUGCAUUAGCUAGUUGGUAAGGUAACGGCUUACCAAGGCAACGAUGCGUAGCCGACCUGAGAGGGUGAUCGGCCACACUGGAACUGAGACACGGUCCAGACUCCUACGGGAGGCAGCAGUAGCGAAUCUGCCGCAAUGGGCGAAAGCCUGACGGAGCAACGCCGCGUGAGUGAUGAAGGUCUUCGGAUCGUAAAACUCUGUUAUUAGGGAAGAACAUAUGUGUAAGUAACUGUGCACAUCUUGACGGUACCUAAUCAGAAAGCCACGGCUAACUACGUG